GAUCCUGGCUCAGGAUGAACGCUGGCGGCGUGCUUAACACAUGCAAGUCGAACGAAGCACUCUAUUUGAUUUUCUUCGGAAAUGAAGAUUUUGUGACUGAGUGGCGGACGGGUGAGUAACGCGUGGGUAACCUGCCUCAUACAGGGGGAUAACAGUUGGAAACGACUGCUAAUACCGCAUAAGCGCACAGGAUCGCAUGAUCCGGUGUGAAAAACUCCGGUGGUAUGGGAUGGACCCGCG
rnacentral:rRNA from 1 species